UUCAAAAAUUCCUAAAGUAUAAACUGAGUACUCAGUGGCUUGCGGGUUGGUGGGGGGAGUUGCCACUAACCCCCAUCCCCCCACAAAGCAGUGGGGUCAAAAUGAACAGAAGAAAUGAAAGUGUGUAAUGAAGACGCCAAAGAAUCGAAACACUUCAAAAAUUCCUAAAAAAUAAACUGAAUACCCCAUUCUGUGGGUGAUGGUGGUGGUGUAGUUGACACAUGGCAGUUGACAGUUGGCACUGUCCAAUGACAGUCAAAACGAACAGAAGAAAUGAAGGCAUAUGAUGAAUCCUCAUAGGGAUUCAUUAUGAGGAAAAGUUAUUAGACACCAAAAAAUCUAAUCACUUCAGUAUUCCUAAAAAAUAAAAUGAGUCCCCCACUACCUUGAAGGUGGGGGGAGGGUGUAGUUGGUACAUCGCAGUUGACGGUUGGCACUGUCCAAUGACAGUCAAAACAGAAGAAAUGAAGGCGUAUGAUGAAUACUCAUAGGGAUUCAUUAUGAGGAAGUUAUUUGACACCAAAUAAUCUAAUCAGUUCAAUAUUCCUAAAAAAUAAAAUAAGUACCUUGAAGGUUGGGGGAGGGUGUAGUUGGCUCUUGGCAGCUGACAGUUGGCACUGUCCAAUGACAGUAAAAAUGAACAGAAGAAAUGAAGAUGUGCAAUGAAUCCUCAUAGGAAUUCAUUAUGAGGAAAAGUUAUUAUACACCAAAGAAUACAAAUACUGAAAAAUAGUGACUGCACAUUCUGCUCCAUAACUCAACUUCUACAAGGGCUAGAGCUUAGCUUGUUUUAGAAAAUAAAGGCUGGGGAUCCGUGUUAGGGUUAGGAUAGGGCGACUUUGGAUCCCCAUUAUUUCCUAUGGUGGAAAUUUACAAAACCAGUAAAAACUAAAAACAACCAUUACAAAUCAACCAAGUGCCACACUGCCUUGAAAUGUGAGUGGUAGGUGGCACCCAUAGGGACCUACCCACCUUCCAAAUUUGGUGUCCCUAGGACCUUUAUAAGUGGUCUGAAUCAAUCCAAAUCUAAAUCCAAUCCAAUCCAAAUAGAAUUUGGGGUGAUUAAGGGGAGCAGAUUUGGACACAAAACAAAUAAGGGGAGAUUCAAUUUGGGCAAAAAUUGAAUUUAAAAAAUCAAUUUGUGCACAUCCCUACUGAGAAGUUGCUGGAGCAACAUCUCCUUAAUGUUGCAUUGCCCAGCUCCUGUGGCUCUGCUUGGCUCUAGUCAAGUUACAGUACUGGCAACCUGUACUUUGAGCUGUCCAAGAUCUGUGGUGCUCUGGCAUCUGGCAACCUCUUCUUGGUGGGAGACCUCAGCUUAACCCACAGCAGGAUUGUAGUAGACAACUUGUAUAAUGUGUAGUUUGGCCCUUCUAGAAGCUAUAUCUAUUCUGCUUUGCACUGUAGGCCUUUUAAAAAUUGUUCAAUGGACUUAUUACUAACUUUGAAAUGUUUCAUACUAGGAAAGUUUGAAGAGAAUGUGAUAGGCACGUACUGCCUUGAAAUAUUGUUAGGUCUGAUCAGAUGAGAGGUGUCAUGGCUUUGUAUCGAAGAGAUCCCCUGUCCCCAGACAGAAAUAUAGGUCAGGUGCAAAAUUCACUGAGUACCUCUGGAGAUGGUUUUUUUUUUAAUUCUUGGAAAGAGUGGAUUAUUGGUGACAGGUAGUAUAUAUCUCAGAAUACCUUUGAAGGAGAAGACAUUUCAGAAUGUCGUGUCUGAACCUGAAGAGAAAUCGGACAUUUAAAACAGGAAAGCCACAGCGUAAACUAAUGUAUUCUUUAUAGUUCAUGUAGUGAUAUUUGUUUAUUAGAGCAUUCGUAUUGUUCCCUUCCUCCAGGGCACAUACAUGGGGUAGGUUGUGGUUUGUGUUUUUUGCCAUGCCUUCAUCACAGACCCUAUGUGGUUUAGACUAAGAUACAAGCCUUGUUCAGACAUUAUAUUGUAUGAGUAUACAUAUGUCUGUACACAUGUACAUGUUUUUGUGUGAAUGACUGCACUUGCAUUCAUUUUAAAAGUGUGUGAACCUGGGUACAGGCCUUUCAAAUGCAUUAUAUAAAUAGAAAGUGUAGUGCCAUACCUGUGUUCAACAUAACAUAUGAAUAAGUGUUCCUAUGUAUAGAUCUGUACCUGUGUACACUGUACACUCAUUGUAUGAGUGCUGAACAUAAUGUGUGAAUAGGGCUAUGGUACAGGUUGAGUAUCCCUAAUCUGGACAUCUGAAAUCCAGAAUGAUCCAAAAUCUGGAAACCACCACGGCUUUUUUUAGUAAGUAAAAAACAUUAUUUUCACAUGAGAUCUGAAUUUCAUCUCCACCUAAAAUGCCAUGUUUUAGUCUAACAUGACCAGCAACAUUAUUGUGUUGAAAAUUUUCUCGCAGUUAGUUUUCAUUACAUUUACAGCUACCUGUAGUUAUUGUAAAUUCAAUGUUUAUUUUUUAUAUACUUUAAAGAAAACCUUUUUAAAAAAUACAGUGUAUCCUUUCGUGUUUAGACUUGUUUGGAUCCCAUACCCAAGAUAUCUCAUUACAGUAUGCAAAUAUUCCAAAAUCCGGAAAAGUCCAAAAUCUGGAACACAUCUGGUCCCAAGCAGUUUGGAUAAGGGAUACUCAACCUGUACUAGCUCAAGGCCAUCCAGCUAAGCAAGAAUUUGAUUCCAGGUUACCCCAGUCUUGGGGAGUUUUCACACAUUAGGCUGCAAGUGACUCUCCCUCAAAAUGGCCUUGAAAUGUCAAGAGUUAUAAUAUUAAUUCACAUUCAAAAUACCUCUCUUUUGCUUUUUCUUCUGAAUUACCAGCUGUCAAGUUAAAUAGUGCAAGACAAGCUCAGUGCUCAUUUAGGCCUCAAAUAUGGAAAUGAUGCAACAGUCUACCACUAUACUACAAGGCUCUCAUCAGGUCUGGCUCUUGGGCUUAGGGAGCUCUCUGAACAUGCGUACAGUGAAUCCCCUCCUCAGUGAGGGGGAAGUCAUCGCCAUGGGCAAUGAAGAACAUUUUCUAGUAGAUACAAGCAAGGAUUCCCAGGGGGUUAAAAACGUUUCAGCAAUAACACCAGGAAGGUGACAUGCAAGACUGCCACUGAAGAAGACUCGACAAGAGUCAAAACGUAUUUGGCAAGAAUACAGGACUUAUCAAAAAUAACGACAUGAGACUUUUCUUCGGGAAUAUCCACACAUACCUCUCUUGCUGCACCAGUAAUACAUCUUCAAUAUGAAUUAUUGGAUCCCAUCUUUUAGUUGAAUAUAGAGACUGUUUUAAUGAUCAUUUUGUAUAAAUUUUUAUUGAAACCUACUUUUAUUCCAGUAUUAUAACACAUGCAAUUGCACAA